GGGGUCCAUUUGUAAAAACAACACAGAAUCCUUGGGAAUUCAUCAACAAAGCUCUCUUAAGCAUUUUAUCAAACACCUUGUCUACAACUCUUUGCCUACUUCUUACCUACGAAUUUCCUUCUUCCUUAGUUUGUUCCAACAAGUCCAAUUACUCUUAGGCUUACAUUGGUGCAACCCCAACACCUUUGUGCCGCACGUUGGUUCUGUGAUUAAAAUAACCACGUGACAGGUGGUAUCAGAGCGUGUUCGUUCAAAGGGACAUACUCUUGAUCGUUGCUAUCAAGUGCACGAUACCGAGAGACCAAGAUUCAAGACUCUAGUUCUUGAAACGUUGUCAAAGUAACGGAACACAGUUUCUACACCCACUUAAUCCCAGUUGACUUGUGAACAAGAUGUCCAACGAAGAAGGCCACAUUUCAGCCCAAGCUGAGCAGGUUCUUGAAGGACCUGUCACACGAGGUAGGAAGGACCGACGAUCCCCGACCCGACGAUCGAAAUCUAAGGGUCCGGAUGCAAGGGAGCAUGUCGAAACUCGCCUUGCCAACCUUGAGCAAAGUCUCGAGGAUGUCCAGCACACGGUAGAAGAGUUGGGUGAUAACUACGAAGAGCUUAUUCAGGAGAAUGUGGAAAUCUCCGCAGCAACCAAGGAGCUCGUGGCCGACCUUGGAAAAACAUUCCAAAAGGAUUUGAAGGAGUUGUCAUCAACCGUAACCACUUUGAAGACAUUUGUUGAAGGUGAGUUACGCGAACUCUAUUCUAAGUAUAUUUCCCUAGAUGCAAAGGUAGAUACUCUUUGCAUGGAAUGUCGUUCCAAGCACUUUGGUGGAGACGGUCCAUCCACCAGUACACACGCCGCUGUGCAAGGCACUACUCACAUAAAAGUGCCGAAACCUGACACAUACAAUGGGGUGAGGAAUGCCACGGUUCGUGGAAAACUUCCUCUUUGGCCUUGACCGAUACUAUGUAGCUGUCGGUGUUCGAGAUGAUGAGGCCAAGAUAAACAAUGCCCCGACAUUCCUAAGGGAUGCCGCACAACUUUGGUGGCGUCGAAGAUACGCUGACCAAAAUGGGAAUGCCAUCCAGACGUGGGAACAAUUUCAAGGCCGAGCUAAGAAAGCACUUCGUUCCCCACAAUGCUGAAAUGGAGUCAAGAGCCAAACUUCGAAGGCUAAGACACACAGGUAACAUUCUCGACUAUGUGAAGGAAUUUACCACUAUUAUGCUUGAAAUUAGUGAUCUGCCCGAGAAGGAAGCCCUAUUCCAAUUUAGAGAUGGAUUGAAAGAUUGGGCCAAGGUUGAGCUAGACCGUCGCAAUGUCCAAACAUUGGACGAUGCUAUAGCCGCAGCUGAGAUGCUUAUCGAUUAUACAACCCAAUCAAAGGAGAGAAAACCUAGUCCAAGUAAACGUGAAGGCAAUCACUACAAGCAUAGAGACUCCGAGCAAAAGGAAAAGGGAAAGAAGGCAUUCCAAAGACAUGGCAAGUAUCACAAAACUCAACAAGGUGAGUCGUCCAAACCUUCUCCCUGUUUUGUUUGUAAUGGCCCUCAUCGGACAAGAGACUGUCCGAAUAGAAAAGCAAUGAAUGCACUUGUUGCCAAAUUGCUCGAGUCCAAGCAAGGAGAUGAUACACCACAGAUUGGUUCCUUGCAACACAUUGGAGCUCUGAAACAGGCCAAUCAAACAACUAAAGGAGGCCUACUCCAUGGAAAUGUAAAGAUAAACGGGAGAGAGGCUAUUGCCAUGUUUGACACCGGUGCGAGUCAUAACUUCAUGAACGUGAAUGAGGCUAAGAGAAUAGGCCUCAAGUUCACAAACGAAGAGGGGACUGUCAAGGCGGUAAACUCGGAAGCACAAGCCAUCAAAGGUGUAGCAAGAGGUGUAACAGUCAAGAUCGGUGAUUGGCAAGGUAAGCUCGACUUCACCGUGCUACCUAUGGAUGACUUUGAUAUUGUGCUUGGCUUAGGGUUCUUCGAUAGAGUAAUUGCUAUCGUUGACUCCUCCGGAUGUACCCUGACGAUAGUGGAUGGUCAAAUAACGACCAUCCCACUAAAGAAGGGAAAACCAACAAUCAGAUUGUCAGCCAUGCUAAAUAAGGAGGGAGUCGCCGAAACCCAACAUCAAACAGUACCGUCGAGAGAGACAAAUUCUAAACCAACAGUCCCAACAGAACACAAGGACGUUAUGCUCGAGGCAAAGUCAGGAAACGCCGAUGCAGUCAAUAACGUCGUAAGCCAGAAGGCAAAACUGGCUGCUAUAACCACCAGCAUGUCCAGAAGUGACUUCCUUAACAGAAUCAAGGAACGGCACGAAGAAUGUGAUAUAUCAAGGGCAUGCCUGGCGAAGGCCGCCACUAAAAUGAAAAAGUGGGCGGACCGGAAAAGGAGGGCUAGAGAGUACCAAGUAGGGGAAAAAGUAAUGGUAAAGCUGCUACCAAACCAAUUUAAAUCCCUACGCAAGGUACAUAAAGGCCUAAUCCGAAGAUACGAAGGACCCUUCUCUAUCAUCGAGAAAGUGGGCAAAGCAGCUUAUCGAUUGGAACUUCCUCCCAGACUGAAGAUCCAUAAUGUCUUCCAUGUGAGCAUGUUGAAGCCUUUCUAUGAAGACAAGGAGGAUCCAAGCAGAGGUGAGUCCUCUCGUGCACCUACCGGCAUGAUCUCAGAGUUCGACAGGAAAAUCAAGGAGAUCUUAGCGGAGAGGAAGAUACGAAGGAGAGGAGUUCCCAGUUAUAACGAAUAUUUAAUUGCUUGGGAAGGACUACCCGAAAGCGAAGCAAGUUGGGAAAAGGAGGACACCCUAUGGCAAUUUCAAGAUGAAAUCAGAAGAUUUCAAGAAAGCGCAACGGGGACGUUGCGAAAUCGAGUGGGGGAGGGUGUCACGCCCCAAAAAUGACCCAACAGAUUUUUCGCAAAUUAAGGCUCCUUAGCAUUGCCCAAGAGGAGCCAACCAAGUCCCAAGCAGUCCAAAGACCCAAGGAAGAGAAGCAAGUUCACGCCAAGCCUAUGACACGCCAAUGUGCAGGAGAUUGGCGCGCGCGGCCCCUGUCAUGACAUGGGCGCGCGCGCGCGCAAGGGCGGCAGGCAGACAAGCGGACGCGCACGGCAGAUGGGCGCGCGCGGCAUGGACGCGCGCCGCUAGUGGUAGCGCGCGCGCGGAAGCGGACACGGAGCGCACGGAGCGCGCGGAGAAGCAUCCGGGAACCUCUCGAAGGUUCCAGAAGAAUCGCGAGCGGCCGGGAAGGCUCGCGAACACGCGCGAAGGCGCGCGCGCGACAGACGCACGCAGACGCGCGCGCGCGCCAGACGACCCCAGACGGCCCCAGACGCUUCCAGAAGCUUCUGGACAGUGUCAUGAGCGCUCAGGAAUGUUCCAGAUUGCUUUUGCCGACCUUGUAAGGCGGUUUAGGGCUUGUAAAUAGAUUGUAUACUUCUAUAAAUACCCCAAAGGGGUCCAUUUGUAAAAACAACACAGAAUCCUUGGGAAUUCAUCAACAAAGCUCUCUUAAGCAUUUUAUCAAACACCUUGUCUACAACUCUUUGCCUACUUCUUACCUACGAAUUUCCUUCUUCCUUAGUUGUUCCAACAAGUCCAAUUACUCUUAGGCUUACAUUGGUGCAACCCCAACACCUUUGUGCCGCACGUUGGUUCUGUGAUUAAAAUAACCACGUGAC
rnacentral:lncRNA from 1 species